GAACGAAGCGCCUUUUGAGAUUCUUCGGAUGAUCGAUUGGUGACUGAGUGGCGGACGGGUGAGUAACGCGUGGGUAACCUGCCCUGCACAGGGGGAUAACAGCUGGAAACGGCUGCUAAUACCGCAUAAGCGCACGAGGAGACAUCUCCUUGUGUGAAAAACUCCGGUGGUACAGGAUGGGCCCGCGUCUGAUUAGCUGGUUGGCAGGGUAACGGCCUACCAAGGCAACGAUCAGUAGCCGGUCUGAGAGGAUGAACGGCCACAUUGGAACUGAGACACGGUCCAAACUCCUACGGGAGGCAGCAGUGGGGAAUAUUGCACAAUGGGGGAAACCCUGAUGCAGCAACGCCGCGUGAGUGAAGAAGUAUUUCGGUAUGUAAAGCUCUAUCAGCAGGGAAGAUAAUGACGGUACCUGACUAAGAAGCUCCGGCUAAAUACGUGCCAGCAGCCGCGGUAAUACGUAUGGAGCAAGCGUUAUCCGGAUUUACUGGGUGUAAAGGGUGCGUAGGUGGCAGUGCAAGUCAGAUGUGAAAGGCCGGGGCUCAACCCCGGAGCUGCAUUUGAAACUGCAUAGCUAGAGUACAGGAGAGGCAGGCGGAAUUCCUAGUGUAGCGGUGAAAUGCGUAGAUAUUAGGAGGAACACCAGUGGCGAAGGCGGCCUGCUGGACUGUUACUGACACUGAGGCACGAAAGCGUGGGGAGCAAUCAGGAUUAGAUACCCUGGUAGU
rnacentral:rRNA from 1 species